rnacentral:misc_RNA from 1 species
CAGAGUUGUAAAACUCCCAAACCCAUGUGAACAUACCUGUUGCCUCGGCGGCCUACCCGGCAGCUACCCUGUAGCUACCCUGUAGUCCGCCGACGGAUUUCAAAACUCUUGUUUUCAGUUGUAUCUCUGAGAACAACUUUUAAAUAAGUCA